CCUUCGGGGGAAAGAAUUUCGGUGAGGGAUCGGCCCGCGUUAGAUUAGUUAGUUGGUGGGGUAAUGGCCUACCAAGACUACGAUCUAUAGCUGGUUUGAGAGGAUGAUCAGCAACACUGGGACUGAGACACGGCCCAGACUCCUACGGGAGGCAGCAGUGGGGAAUCUUAGACAAUGGGGGCAACCCUGAUCUAGCGAUGCCGCGUGAGUGAUGAAGGCCUUAGGGUCGUAAAGCUCUUUCGCCUGUGAUGAUAAUGACAGUAGCAGGUAAAGAAACCCCGGCUAACUCCGUGCCAGCAGCCGCGGUAAUACGGAGGGGGUUAGCGUUGUUCGGAAUUACUGGGCGUAAAGCGCACGUAGGCGGAUUAGUCAGUCAGAGGUGAAAUCCCAGGGCUCAACCCUGGAACUGCCUUUGAUACUGCUAGUCUUGAGUUCGAGAGAGGUAAUUGGAAUUCC
rnacentral:rRNA from 1 species